rnacentral:rRNA from 1 species
UACGUAGGGGGCGAGCGUUGUCCGGAUUUAUUGGGCGUAAAGAGCGUGUAGGCGGCCAGGUAGGUCUGCUGUGAAAACUCGAGGCUCAACCUCGAGACGUCGGCGGAAACCAUCUGGCUAGAGUCCGGAAGAGGAGAGUGGAAUUCCUGGUGUAGCGGUGAAAUGCGCAGAUAUCAGGAGGAACACCAGUGGCGAAGGCGGUUGCCUGGAGCUUUGCUGACGCUGAUGCGCGAAAGCGUGGGGAGCGAUCCGG